rnacentral:rRNA from 1 species
UACGGGGGGGGGGGCAAGCGUUGUUCGGAAUUACUGGGCGUAAAGGGCUCGUAGGUGGCCAACUAAGUCAGACGUGAAAAUCCCUCGGCUUAACCGGGGAACUGCGUCUGAUACUGGAUGGCUAGAGUUUGGGAGAGGGAUGCGGAAUUCCAGGUGUAGCGGUGAAAUGCGUAGAUAUCUGGAGGAACACCGGUGGCGAAGGCGGCAUCCUGGACCGAGAUUGACGCUGAGGCGCGAAAGCGUGGGGAGCAAACAGG